rnacentral:rRNA from 1 species
UACGGAGGGUGCAAGCGUUAUCCGGAUUCACUGGGUUUAAAGGGUGCGUAGGUGGGCAGGUAAGUCAGUGGUGAAAUCUCCGAGCUUAACUCGGAAACUGCCGUUGAUACUAUUUGUCUUGAAUAUUGUGGAGGUAAGCGGAAUAUGUCAUGUAGCGGUGAAAUGCUUAGAUAUGACAUAGAACACCAAUUGCGAAGGCAGCUUACUACACAACGAUUGACGCUGAGGCACGAAAAGCGUGGGGAUCAAACAGG